GGGCACGAAGGGGGUUUAAGUGCCCAGUAAUGAAGUGGUUAAAGCAUCGCUCCAAGUUUGCUAUCGCUUUUAAUAUUUUGGCCAACUUGGCCCAAGCAAAACUAUUUCCUUCACUAAUGCAUGUGGCUGCGGUCAGCGCUGUAGCCUCAGCUACAUACAGUAUUCACUUGCAAACCGUAAGACAUUAUACAAUAUACGUUGUAUAAUAAACAAUUGGAUUUAAAAAUCGAGUUGGUAGGUGAAAUCGAUUCAUAUUUUUUAAAAAUCGACUUUUUUCGAUUUUUUUAUCCCAGGACCGGCGUGAAGAAUCCUCCUAUUAUCUGGUGCAGACCCUUACAAACGUCCCUCCUGUCUUGAUAGCCUCUCCGGGGUGUGCAGGGGAGAAGUCAGUCAGCCGCGAUCCCGGGAAAGGGCCGUGAGGCCAGCCGUCACGGACUAGGCUGAAGCC